rnacentral:lncRNA from 1 species
AUAUGCUUUCAAUAAAUGAUCUAAUAAAUGGGAAGGUUAAUUUUGGAUGUGGGAUAAAUAUGAUAGAGACCUCUUCCCUUAUUUAUUCUAGGAUUCUAAGAGAGAAAAAAAAAUCCAAAAUUAGGUGGAAUUUUCAAGGAUUUAAAUCUCUAAAAACUGAUAGAUAUCAGGUUUGGUUAGGACUCUUAAAAUAUGUAAAUUUUUUGGGGCACCC